rnacentral:rRNA from 1 species
AGAGUUAAAAAGUACGUGAAAUUGUUAAAAGGGAAACGAUUGAAAUCAGUGUUGACUAUGUUAAAUCAUCCGUUCAGUAAUGAGCGGUGCAAUUUAGCAUAGUCAGGUCAACAUCAGUUUCGGGCGAGGUAAAUUAGCUCAGGAAGGUGGCUCUCUCGGGAGCGUUAUAGCCUGUGUGAGUACCUCGUGUGGGACUGAGGAAUGCAGCACAUGCCUUUGGCUGGCGAAUCAGGCGCUAAGUCCUUUCAAUUCAUCAACAGCUUGCUGAUGCUGGGUUGCGAGGGCUUACACGCUUGACUAGUACAAAUGUGCUCAGGAUGUUGACGAAAUGGUUUUAAACGACC